CAGCCGCCGCGGUAAUACGUAGGUGGCGAGCGUUGUCCGGAAUUAUUGGGCGUAAAGGGAGCGCAGGCGGACAUAUAAGUCCAUCUUAAAAGUGCGGGGCUCAACCCCGUGAGGGGAUGGAAACUGUAUGCCUUGAGUGCAGGAGAGGAAAGCGGAAUUCCCAGUGUAGCGGUGAAAUGCGUAGAUAUUGGGAGGAACACCAGUGGCGAAGGCGGCUUUCUGGACUGCAACUGACGCUGAGGCUCGAAAGCCAGGGGAGCGAACGGGAUUAGAUACCCCAGUAGUCCCUGUCUCUUAUACA
rnacentral:rRNA from 1 species